GUAGUAAAAAGAAACGUCAACACGGGAGAUGUAGUUGGAGAAAUAUGAGCCACAGACAGAGACUUUGUACGGUAUAGAGAACGAUGGCAAAGUAUUAUUGAAAAAGGUGAAGUUCAAUGGGGGCAGAUCAACAGAGUUAUGCAAUUAAGAAUAAAGGGGAUGGGACACUAUCCAAAAAGAAGGAAGAGUGAAGAAAUUGAAAAUUAAUGUGUGAAUGAAGAGA